GGCAAACUACGGAAGUGUCAUCGGAUUCGCAAAAUUCAGGCCAGCAAUGUGGAUGUGGGACACAGGACAUGCAUAGAUGAUGUCAGGGGGGCAAGGCUAUGGAAGAAGACCAGCGAGGGUGAAGGCUGGUGGCUGCCCACAUCGCUAACCUGAAGCCUGUAAUCCAAUGACAACCUUCUGAGAUCUUCCACGAACACUUGGUCAACCUGAUUCUCCAGAACCAGAUCCAGCUACAACUUCACAAGGACACAAAAUUGGAUCAGGAUUCAACCACUCAGCUCCUCAAUAUUGUCGUAUCAUUUAAUAUGAUCUCUACUGCCUCCAUCUCCUCUACCGUGCCAGUUGCCUAUCGUUCAUAGUUCCUCUGAUGUUUCAAAUAUUUAUCUGUUUGUCUAAUUAUAUCUAACAAUCUGGUAUCCAUCACCAUGGAGCAGAGAAUUGUGGAGAAUCACUAUCUGUUGAGAGAAGCUGUUUCUACGCACUUCACAUGGCAGAUCCAUUACUUUGUAGCUAUGUCCUCUUAUUGGACCUGAACUAAAGUAACUGAGCGACUGCUCCUGAAUCCACCUGGUCCCUCACACCUACCUUGCAUUUCAAUAUGCUCAUGGCUGAUCUCCCCAGGCCUCAACUCCACUCCUGUGCCAGCUCCACAAACCUCUCAAUUCCUUGACCAUUGAAGAAUUUAUCAACCUUUUUAGCUACAGGUUGAGUACCCCUUAUCUGAAAUGUUUGGGGCCAGAAGUCUUUUGGACUGUGGAUUUUUUCCUAUUUUGAAUAUAGACAAUAGGUGCAGGAGUAGGCCAAUCGGCCCUUCGAGCCAGCACCACCAUUCACUGUGAGCAUGGCUGAUCAUCCACAAUCAGUACCCUUUUCCUGCCUUCUCCCCAUAUCCCUUCACUCCGCUAUCUUUAAGAGCUCUAUCUAACUCUUUCUUGAAAGAAUCCAGAAAAUUGGCCUCCACUGCCUUCUGAGGCAGAGCAUUCCACAGAACCACAACCCUCUGUGUGAAAAAGUUUUUCCUCAACUCCGUUCUAAAUUGUCUACCCCUUAUUCUUAAAAUGUGACCUCUGGUUCUGGACUCCCCCAACAUCGGGAAUGUGUUUCCUGCCUCUAGCGUGUCCAAUCCCUUAAUAAUCCCUUAAUAAUCUCCCACCACCCCACUAGGAAUAGGGUUCCCCUGGUCAUCACCUACCACCCCACCAGCUUCCGGGUCCAACAUAUUAUUCUCCGUAACUUCUGCCACCUCCAACGGGAUCCCACCACUAAGCACAUCUUUCCCUCCCCCCCUCUGUCUGCAUUCCGCAGGGAUUGCUCCCUACACAACUCCCUUGUCCAUUCGUCCCCCCCAUCCCUCCCCACUGAUCUCCCUCCUGGCACUUAUCUGUGUAAGCGGAACAAGUGCUACCUCCCUUCCUCCCUUACCGCCAUUCAGGGCCCCAAACAGUCCUUCCAGGUGAGGCAUCACUUCACCUGUGAGUCGACUGGGGUGAUAUACUGCGUCCGGUGCUCCCGAUGUGGCCUUUUAUAUAUUGGUGAGACCCGACGCAGACUGGGAGACCGCUUUGCUGAACAUCUACGCUCUGUCCGCCAGAGAAAGCAGGAUCUCCCAGUGGCCACACAUUUUAAUUCCACAUCCCAUUCCCAUUCUGACAUGUCUAUCCACGGCCUCCUCUACUGUAAAGAUGAAGCCACACUCAGGUUGGAGGAACAACACCUUAUAUUCCGUCUGGGUAGCCUCCAACCUGAUGGCAUGAACAUCGACUUCUCUAACUUCCGCUAAGGCCCCACCUCCCCCUCGUACCCCAUCUGUUACUCAUUUUUAUGCACACAUUCUUUCUCUCACUCUCCUUUUUCUCCCUCUGUCCCUCUGAAUAUACCUCUUGCCCCUUCUCUGGGUCACCCCCCCCCCUUGUCUUUCUUCCCGGACCUCCUGUCCCAUGAUCCUCUCGUAUCCCCUUUUGCCUAUCACCUGUCCAGCUCUCGGCUCUAUCCCUCCCCCUCCUGUCUUCUCCUAUCAUUUUGCAUCUCCCCCUCCCCCUCCAGCUUUCAAAUCCCUUACUCACUCUUCCUUCAGUUAGUCCUGACGAAGGGUCUCGGCCUGAAACGUCGACUGUACCUCUUCCUAUAGAUGCUGCUUGGCCUGCUGCGUUCACCAGCAACUUUGAUGUGUGUCGCUUGAAUUUCCAGCAUCUGCAGAAUUCCUGUUGUUUGCCCUUAAUAAUCAUAUAUGUUUCAAUCAGAUCCCUCUUAUCCUUCUAAAUUCCAGUGUAUACAACCCCAGUCGCUCCAAUCUUUCAACAUAUGACAGUCCCACCAUCCCGGGAAUUAACCUAAUUAUAUAUUAAGAUAGCUUGGGAUCACCAUAAUUUCCCACUGAAUUUAUCUGCUGUGUCUUACACUUGUUCAUCACACAAAAGUACUUAACAGUGUAAUGUGUGCAGAGUGGCAAAAGCAGCACAGCAGCAUCAGCUGUUGAGUAACAGCAGACUUUCAGUCUCUCUGUGAUCCCGCCUUUUGAUUAAAAUAUUACAGUACACUGUAUUAGUAUCUUAUUUUAUCUUGGGUUUUUUGUAAGGUAUAAAAAAACAGCAUUCUAGUCUUGCUCUGCUGUUAGGUUUUCAUCAGCAACAAUCUUUGCAAAUUCAUCAAUGAAUUUCUCUGCUGCUUCAUGAUCAGCAGACGCUUUAAAAAUUCAAUACCAUGCCUUUUCUUAAAUUUCUGUACUCAGCUGCUGAGUAUUCACAAUUACCUUCAAAUUUCAGUUUGUCAUGAUAGAUCUUUGUUUGUUUCAUGAUUAGCAUACUGUUAAGCAGCAAACGUUCACUCCGCUAAUGAAUCGACUCUUUUCAAUACAUGAUUGAGACCUUCAUUUUUCACUUUAUGCAGUGCUUAUCUAGUUUUCAUUAACUUCUGUGCAUUACAUGUGUGAGCUCAUUUCUCAGAACUGUCUGUGCUGUGCAUCUCCUGGGAUUUUCCAUCUGUGACAUUUGUCAGAGCCCAACUUCUCAGAUUUUAGAAUUUUGGAUAAGGUGUUUUCAACCUGACCUCCAUUUAUCUGCACUCCACCACCUUCAGAGGAAGAGAAAUCCAAAAUAUACACCCUCCGCCUGAAGAAAUUUCCAUGGCUUUUAUCUUAUAAAUAGUGCCCUUGUUCAAGACUGUCUCACUGGAUGCAGUGCAGGUUCCAUUAGCUGGAUCAUGGGGUGUGUUGGAAUGGAUAUUCAAGUGAAAUAAGGGUUAUAGGAAAUGUAGGCUGAAGCAAUACAGGAUGGCUUGCUUCAGUAAACAAGUAUUUCUGACUGACGGAUAAAUCCCCUGACAAAAAUUUCUCCAGUGCAGAAAGCUUGUUUAAUUCAGGGACUGCCUGCAGAUCUUAAGGGGAUCAAAACUGUUCACAGUAGAAUUGAAACAACGCCGUUAUAUUUUUUAACAUUAUAGUCCCCUUUCAAAUAGAAUAAUUGCCUUUAUUGCCUUCUUAACCUACUUGCUGUGUCUGUGUGCAAACCAUCGUAUUUGGAUCUGUCUGUGCUCUACAGAUUUGCAGUGUCUGUCAAUUUAGAUAAAAAUGUGCCUUCAGACUCCUCUUAUUGAAGUGCAUUCCCUUGCACUUUCCUACCCUAAAUUCCAUUUGGCAAGAUUUUUGCCUAAUGUCUAACCUCUUCACAUCCUCCUCCUAUAUUUACAUUUCAGAACGUUGAUUGUUCUUUUGCAUUUAACAUUGUCCAAAUCAGAAUUGGAUAGUUGAAAUCCCCAAAUACCACCACAUUGCAAUUUCCCAGCAGAUUCUCGCUUCCCUCUUUUCCGCACCCACCCCCCCCCCCACCGCCCUUUAUUUUCUUUCGCCCAUUUUCUCUUUUUGGUACGUUUUCUUGUUCCUUCGGCUAUUUGUGCUUACAGCUCACUAACAUUAUUCACAACUGUGCAGUCCUGGGUUGGUCUGUAGUCUAGUGUAGUUUUCUGUUGUUUUAUGUAGUUCAGUGUAGUUUUUGUACUGUUCAUGUAGCACCAUGGUCCUGAAAAACAUCGUCUCGUUUUUACUGUGUACUGUACCAGCAGUUAUGGUCGAAAUGACAAUAAAAAGUGACUGUGUGUUAGCGUAUACGUAUUCUAUACCUAUGCAUGGCUUUCUUGCAGCCUGCCUAAUGCUGUGCUGCUUCCUGUACAAGUGCUCUGUAUACUCUCCUUUCUACUGCUGAAUUGAUGUCUCGUGUGGUGACCGCAAGUUGCUGUCAUAAUCAUUGUAUUCUUUAAAAUCUAAAUUAUUAUUUGCUAUGUCUCUUCCUUUUAUACUAACGCAAUGACUUGAGUUUUGAAAAUUAUCUGUAUGGAAAACAUGCAAAAUAAAGUUUGUCACUAUACAAUA